rnacentral:misc_RNA from 1 species
AUUGUUUCGAACGGCAGCUUUUUUCACGAAAGGCUGGCGGAUCGGUAGUGAGGGCUUGCCAUUCACCGUGGCUCCUUCUAAAUGCAUUAGCGCAUCCAUUUGAUAGGCAAGACGGACGAAAGCUCAUUCUUUCGCUCUUUUCUUUCCUGCCGGGUUUUGAUAAUAUCGAAGCUUCGGAGAGAUCGAAAAGUAGCGACGAGCUGGACGCAACGACUUGCUGGUUGGAGUGCUUCUGAACCCCGCCUUCUCUGUAGAGAGAAGGAUUUAUAAUUCA